GCUUUCCGGGGGCAGCUGCUUCGCCGCACCACGAGGCAGGCAGGCUGGCUUGUAUUUUUUUGGACAGGAAGCAAACAGAAAUUGGGCAACUUUGAGCGCCUUGUGAGAGCUUCUGUCUCUGUGAAGUGCCCUUAUCAUGCUAUUAUUAAAGACUUAGGCUUGGGGAAUUUUCAUUUAUUUUUAUUUUUUACUACUGUUUGUGUCUCCCUCUGUCGUAUUGGGGACCCCCCCCCCAAAAAAGGCAAAAUGAUGUUAUCCGAGCAAGCCCAGAAGUGGUUUCCAACUCACGUGCAGGUCACCGUGCUUCAAGCCAAAGAUCUGAAGCCAAAAGGCAAAAGUGGCACCAAUGAUACAUACACUAUCAUCCAACUGGGCAAGGAAAAAUACUCCACCUCUGUAGCAGAGAAAACCCUUGAUCCAGUCUGGAAAGAAGAGGCUUCUUUUGAGCUCCCUGGAUUGCUAAUGCAGGGGAAUCCAGAGAAAUACAUACUUUUCCUGGUAGUCAUGCACAGGUCUUUGGUGGGUCUGGAUAAAUUUUUGGGGCAGGUGGCAAUCAAUCUCAAUGACAUCUUUGAGGACAAACAGAGAAAGAAAACAGAGUGGUUUAGGUUAGAAUCCAAGCAAGGGAAAAGAGCCAAAGACAGAGGAGAAAUAAAGGUCAACAUUCAGUUUAUGAGGAACAAUAUGACAGCCAGUAUGUUUGAUCUGUCAAUGAAGGACAAAACAAGAUCUCCUUUUGCAAAACUAAAAGAUAAAAUGAAAGGUAGAAAGAAUGAUGGGACUUUUUCUGAUACAUCUUCAGCGAUCAUUCCAAGUACUCAUAUACCUGAUGCUAACAUUGAACUUUCAAGUAGUGAAAUACAGAUGAAAUCCAAACCAAAAAAGCCUUUUCUUUUGGGACCUCAGCGACUCUCUUCAGCUCAUUCAAUGUCUGAUUUAACGGCAUCACAUGUUUCUUCAGAGAAAUUGAAGACUAGCACUAUUGGUCAUACACAUCUUUUCAGGCGCCAGUUAGAGUCUUUUGAAUCUGUUGAGGAAAGUGGAAGUCUCAAAUCUCCACAUAGAAGAACAUUAAGUGCUGAUACUUCUAAAAUCAACCAACCUGACAGCAUAGUUGAUGAAGGUGAAUCGUCUUUUGGAACACAAAAUGACCCAUUUACAAAUGUGACUGCUUCAUUACCCCAAAAAUUUGCAACACUGCCAAGAAAGAAAAAUCCAUUUGAAGAAAGCAGUGAGUCAUGGGACAGUGGCGUGAAUUUAUUUUCAAAAUCAGUUGAAGUCAAAAAAGAAAAUAAAAGAGAGAAAAGGGAGAAAGUUAGUCUUUUUGAAAGAGUGACUGGGAAAAAAGAUAGCAGGAGGUCUGACAAACUUAGCAAUGGGGGAUUGGACAGUUCUUGUGACUUGAAAUCACCUAAUGCAUUUAUUGAAAAUCGCCAGGAUUAUUUUGAUUAUGAUUCUACUAACCCGUUUACAACAAACUUCAGGACUACAAACAUGAUGCCAUCUUCUAGUUUUCAUAUGAAACCAACAAGCAGUGAAGAUCUCAGGAAAAUACUGGAUAGCAAUCCUUUUGAUGCCACUGCAGGGUAUCGAAGUCUUACCUAUGAAGAAGUGUUGCAAGAACUGGUGAAACACAAAGAACUACUUAAAAGAAAAGAUACCCAUAUCCGUGAACUUGAGGACUACAUUGACAAUCUUCUUGUAAGAGUAAUGGAAGAAACUCCAAGUAUUCUCAGAGUGCCAUAUGAACCUUCAAGAAAAGCUGGCAAAUUUUCUAAGAGUUAAUAAGCCAGUAACACUGCAUUUCAUACUUUAAACAAUGCUGAUGGAAGACACUGCACAACAGGUACCCACAUAUCUCAUGUCAUAAGUAUGACACAAUCAAAUCUACUUUAAAGGAGAGGAUAUUUUCCUGCAUAAAGAAUCAAGAAUCAACAAGCUGUUUAUUUUUAUCAUUGUAAGCCAAAAUGAGUAUUGUAUUAAAACUUGAUUUUAAUUGCACUUAGUACCACCUGAAACUAUUUCAAUUAUUGGUUACUAUCACAUGACUUAGAACUGAAUGCUGUUUUCAUUAUAAUUACAUUAUAAAUCAAUGUAAUUAGAAGCAGAGAAAAAAAAUUACUGCUCAGAUUUUGUUUGCAAAUGAAAGUGUCUUUAAUCUGUCCUUGGUUGAAAGUAGAAACAAAACUGUCUUCAAUUUUUAGAAUUGCAGAAAGGCAGAAAAUAAUAUCUUAGCUUGUAUUUUUGAAGUAUAACUUUAUAAUUAUUCAAAUUAUUAGAGAUUUGAUUAUGUAUUUUUUUAGGUUAGUAGUUUAGAAAUGAGGGUACAAUUAAUGAAUUUUUUAACAGAAAGUAUGAUACUUAUAAACACAUUUUUUCCUCUUUGUGCUGAAAUACAUCUAUAUACUCCAAAGCAUUUCACUGGUCUUUUAAUCAUAAAACAAUUUACACAAUAUAUCUCAAAACCUGUUAUAAUCUGAGAAGCUUCUAUUGUAUUAAUUUAAAAGUUUUUAUUUUAUAAAAUCACUUCUAUAUGCAAAUUUCAUUUCAGUAUUAAUUCCAAUUUAGUGAUAAUAAUAUUGGAAUACUUGCCUGCAGUUAAUUCUUUUAACUUUCAUUUAUGGGACAAAUACCAGGGUCAUAUUUUAGAAUUGUAGAUAAAAUGAUAACUUAUUACCCAUUCAUGAAGAAUGUAUAACAUUCAGAUGUUACUUUUUGCUGCUAUUUUUUGUAUUGAGCUUUGUUUUGUCACCUUUGCAUGCAUGAAUGUAGCAUUAUCCAUAGAUUAGCCACAACUACAUCUAUUGCUUUUGGCAGGAAGUCAAAAUCUAGUUAUAAUUUUCCAGCUGUGAAAAUGUUGCCUUGUUCUUAAAACAGAUUUCAUGAACAGAAACCUAAGCAAAACUAAGCUCAUCAGUGAACAACUUGCUUUCUUCCCAUGUGCUUCCCUCACCCCCAUUUUCCUGAAAGGGGGCGUGGUGUAUUUUCUUUGAUUAGGAGAAUCUUAAAAAGAAGUAAGACCUGCUUUCUUUAAUAUAUCUACAAUAACUGUUGUACCAGAGGUUUUAUUUUCUCCUAUAGCUUUUAAGAAAGAGCCUAUCUUGGAUUUGUAAAUCACGCCGAAACUUUUUGAUGUUCAUGUACUCAUACAUCUUGUAGAUAUGGUAGGUGUAAGUUGUGUGUGUUAAAAUGAACUUUAAGAGCAUGUUGAUUCACUUACUCUCUUUGAAGUAAGAGGUGAAGGAUUAUGGCAUUGCUAGUUCAUGAUACUAGAUUUAAAGGUCUGUCAGCACUUCCAUUGUAAACUCCAUUUUAAUGGAUUUAUAACUUUAAUAAUCCAGAUGUAAUCACUGGAAGUAUUUAAUAUGCAAUAGAUAGCACCUUAGCUAAUCUGCAUAUGAAGGGUUUUCAGAUGCAUUUAUUAAGAAGUGUAGAAGCUCUUCAAGCAUUAAACUAGACUUGACAUCAUUUAUUUCAUUUAUUUUCUAUGUCAAAGAAUCCACUCUUAUGUGGAAUUGAAAUCUGUUACAAAUAAUACAUUUGGGCUUAUUCAUGUUAGAAGCUUCCAGAUGUUUUGUAUUUUGAAGUAUGAAAAAUUGCUGCAGAUCCUAGAAUGUGUGUAUUUAGCAGGUAUGCAAAAGAUAUAAACAUUAUUUAUAACAGAAGAGUACAUACUUGUCUUAUUAAAAAUACUAUAGUAACUUGUACACGUUUUUGAAGGUACAAAACUCACAAGUCUAUUUAAAUAUUGUAUAAUGUGACGCCAAAUUUAUGUAAUCUGAUGCAUGAAGAAUCAGAAUUUUUAUAUUACAUAUGAUAAGUAUUGAUUUAUUAUAGCUGAUUAAAGUGUAUAAUCUUAAUAUUUUAUUUAAUUGCAUGUCUAAAAUAUUAAUAAAUUUCCAAAGUACA